ACCCCGUUUCUCGCUGAUUUCACUGUUUUCAGGUGAGUUAAGUCCAUAAAAUCACACAAAUAUUACUUAUAACUGUUGUUGACACUUCUCUUACUUGUAUUUGACUCGCUUCUGUUGUUUAUUUACUUUAUAGGAAUGGUUUAAUGUCUUCGAAAAAGUCCGUUAGCAUUUCUACCGUUUUCAGACGACGUAUCGUCAGAAGGGAGUGUCCAAGAUUUCAAUAUUUCUGAAGGGAGCUGCUGACAGAGAUGUAGGAAGCGCUGAAAAGAUUCUUCAGUGCUGAUGGCCUGCUGCAUCCAGCAGAGUCGGAGUGAACCUACUGUAAGACAACAUCUCCAAGAUGCUAUUGACCACAAGACUAGUACAGUUAUUAGAAACUGCACAGCGCAGGACUUGCAGGACUUGUGAGGACUUCAGAUGAUACCAGUACUCAAAAGACCUUAGAUGAUGGCAACUAUAGAUGGACAUACAAACUACCGCCACUGCAAAAAAGGUAAUGUUAAUUUGAAAGAGCUGUGUCACAGUAGCCGUGUUUCCACUAUCGAGCUAAGACCGGGCGUGCUAGUGCGUGCCAGGGCCAGUCGCGUUUCCACAGUCACUUCCGGGGCUUGAUCGUGCCUCGCCGGGGCUUCCUCGGGGCCAACGGCCAGGGUUUUUUGGCCCGUUGAAAACCUUGGGCCAAAGCGGGCCAGCUGGGGCUAGAGGAGGAGUUAUGAACAAAGGCGGAGUUUCUCCGUGUCUGGAGAGCGUCAGCGCGGAUCAUUUCAGAGAGAUAACAACUUUAACAGCAGCAUUAAAGACGUUUUAAAAUCAGUUGAGCUCAAAACUCACUCUUAGUUAGCAGCAAGUGUUUGAAAUAACUUGAUCCGAUGUGGAUUAUAAUCACUAAACAAGGCAGAAAUAUUUAUAAGCGAUGUAAAAGACUAUGCACGCUAAAAAUUA